UAGGGAAUCUUCCGCAAUGGACGCAAGUCUGACGGAGCAACGCCGCGUGAGUGAAGAAGGAUUUCGGUUCGUAAAACUCUGUUGUUAGAGAAGAACAGCGCAUAGAGUAACUGUUAUGCGUGUGACGGUAUCUAACCAGAAAGCCACGGCUAACUACGUGCCAGCAGCCGCGGUAAUACGUAGGUGGCAAGCGUUGUCCGGAUUUAUUGGGCGUAAAGCGAGCGCAGGCGGUCAAUUAAGUCUGAUGUGAAAGCCCCCGGCUCAACCGGGGAGGGUCCUUGGAAACUGGUUGACUUGAGUGCAGAAGAGGAGAGUGGAAUUCCAUGUGUAGCGGUGAAAUGCGUGGAUAUAUGGAGGAACACCAGUGGCGAAGGCGACUCUCUGGUCUGUAACUGACGCUGAGGCUCGAAAGCGUGGGUAGCAAACAGG
rnacentral:rRNA from 1 species